UAGGGAAUCUUCGGCAAUGGGGGGAACCCUGACCGAGCAACGCCGCGUGAGUGAAGAAGGUUUUCGGAUCGUAAAGCUCUGUUGUUAAGGAAGAACGAGUGUGAGAAUGGAAAGUUCAUGCUGUGACGGUACUUAACCAGAAAGGGACGGCUAACUACGUGCCAGCAGCCGCGGUAAUACGUAGGUCCCGAGCGUUGUCCGGAUUUAUUGGGCGUAAAGCGAGCGCAGGCGGUUAGAAAAGUCUGAAGUGAAAGGCAGUGGCUCAACCAUUGUAGGCUUUGGAAACUGUUUAACUUGAGUGCAGAAGGGGAGAGUGGAAUUCCAUGUGGAGCGGUGAAAUGCGUAGAUAUAUGGAGGAACACCGGUGGCGAAAGCGGCUCUCUGGUCUGUAACUGACGCGGAGGCUCGAAAGCGUGGGGAGCGAACAGG
rnacentral:rRNA from 1 species